UACGGAGGGGGCUAGCGUUGUUCGGAAUUACUGGGCGUAAAGCGCACGUAGGCGGCUUUGCAAGUUAGAGGUGAAAGCCCGGGGCUCGACUCCGGAAUUGCCUUUAAAACUGCAUCGCUAGAAUUGUGGAGAGGUAAGUGGAAUUCCGAGUGUAGAGGUGAAAUUCGUAGAUAUUCGGAAGAACACCAGUGGCGAAGGCGACUUACUGGACACAUAUUGACGCUGAGGUGCGAAAGCGUGGGGAGCAAACAGG
rnacentral:rRNA from 1 species